rnacentral:misc_RNA from 1 species
GUCAUUUUCAAGCUCACCAUUUAACUCUGUCAAACAUGCAAGCGUAAACAUCAAGACCGGUAAGGUCUUGAGCCAAUGUGUCAGUCCCACCAGCCUAGCCCAGACUAGACUAGCUAGCCAGAUUAGACUAGCUAGCCAGCCUAGACUAGGCCAGCGGACCAACGCGAGAUUUGUAAUGAUCCUUCCGCAGGUUCACCUACGGAAA